AAACCAGCACCUCAAGUGGUCAGGAUGAUUAUUGGGCCUAAAGCAUCCGUAGCCUGCUUUGUCAGUUUUCGGUUAAAUCCAUACGCUCAACGUAUGGGCUGCCGGAAAUACUGCAAAGCUAGGGAGUGGGAGAGGUAGACGGUACUCGGGAGGAAGGGGUAAAAUCCUUUGAUCUAUUGAGGACCACCUGUGGCGAAGGCGGUCUACCAGAACACGUUCGACGGUGAGGGAUGAAAGCUGGGGGAGCAAACCGGAUUAGAAACCCGGGUAGUCC
rnacentral:rRNA from 1 species